UAAACGUAAUUUUUUUUAAUGCAUAUUAAGAUUCGAAUGAACUUUGCUUAUUUAUCAAUCCUGGCAUAGUUUAACUAACUCUCAGCAGUUAACUGAUUAGGUUAUAAGAGAUGUCUUAUUUAUUCGAAUGAUUUUAAAUCCGGAGCAUUGACGCCCCUGUAGGCCGAAGAUGUAUUUCAUUUUGAAAGGACGCCAAGCUCGAGUCGAUGGUCCGUCGUUUUAACAUUUCCGGUCUUUUCCUUCUGGUUCGGUGGAAGGAGGCUCCAUGGACUUCAUAAGUUUUCCUGAAUUUGGACCGAAUGUUGUCGACAUGGACUAUAUCUGAUCACUAAUUUACUGGACUAAAACAUCAUCCGUGGAAUCCUUGUGUUCGGUUUGGGAUCAUUUCGUGCACAUUGAAUUUUUUCGGUCUAGUUUAGUUUGACUUGUGUAACAAAGAGCGACGAUCAACAUUACGCGAACCAGAGAUCAAGGGUGAGGUAAAGUCUUUGACAUUUAAAGUACGGUUUAAAACUCACUCACUAACAACUAAAUGCUGUAGUGUUUGCAUCGUUGUUAUUAUCAUCGUAAUCUGGAUUCUGAAUACGGUCCCACGGUUGACGACAAUGGUUAGCUCCUCUGCCACACAACGGCUCAAAUCCCGGCCCUGCCAGUGCUUGCUUGUUCUCCCCGUGGCUGUGUGGGUUUUCUGCGGGCACUCCAAUUUCCUCUAAAAAACUUUUGGGGCUCCAGUUUCCUCUUAAAAACUGACCACCGAGUUAAAAUAUCUAAUCUAUUUGAUGGCAGUAAGUACAUAGAGCAAUUAAUUCAGAUAAUUUUCUCGACAUUCUUGUUUAUUGGUGUGUCGUAAGAUUUUUAAUCGUAAAGUGUUUACCUUUGCUCCCAAAAAUUUUGAAUUUACUGCUCUGUAUUCUUCAGGUCAAAUCAACAUUAUGAGACAGAACUGGAUGGUAAUUUACUCUAAAUAAAUUACUUUAUUGUAAUUCAGUCACUUCUCCUCACUGAAACUUGAGAGCAUGACCCGACAGAACGGCAUGUAUGUUUACAUACAACCGCUAAAAAGAGCGGUAUAGUUAGUGUUAAUGUUUUGUGGCCUGCUUCCAAGCUGAAUCGUAUCGAAGUGCGUGAACAUACCUAGGGCAAGUCUUACACCAGUGCUUCUCAAUUUUUUGUCACGCCCCAACUUUCAAGAAAAAAAACAUUGUGCCACCCCACUCUCCACUGCAACCAUAAAUAUUAUCAGCUGUUUAUAAAAUUAUAUGUACAGCUAGACAGAACAUAGUAUCCUUAUUAACAUUUGAAAGGGGUGUUAAUUAGUGAUGCUUCCCAUAACCGUUGAAUACCCAAAUGUAUUAUGCAACCAUGGUUAUAUAAGUUGUUUUUCACUUACCUGUUUUUCACUCACUUGUUUUUCUGGUCAAGACGUCUUGACCGUUUCACUAUCGUGUUCGCAUGCAUACACUCACUUGUUUUUUCGCAUAUAGGUUGUUUUUCACUCACUUGUUUUUCUGGUCAAGACAUCGUGACCGUUUCACUAUCUUGUUCCCAUGCAUACCAAAGACGAACAUUGUUGUGGGAUGUCUUGACAGUUAUGGCUGCGUAAGAUGUUUCUCAGAGCCUGAAGGACACACUUAGGUGUCAAUAGUAAAUCAGGAAACAAUUGUUGCGGCGCCAGGUGGGACGGGUAGGCCACCUGUCCUUUCUCUCGCACGCAACUGAAAAGUAUAAUAGAGAGAUGCAGAGUACAAACAGGUAGAGUCUGCUGCGGGUUUCGUACGGACGUCCAGCUGGUUGACAAGCGGACCUCUACCAGGGUGAACGGCUCUCCACCUUCUCGGCAUAGCGCAGAAAGUUCGUGGUUCAUGUGAAAAUGUGUUCAAGAACGACAGGAGAGUACAAGAUAGACGUUUACGGGCCAAAAAAGGAGGAGGAGCCAAAAUGUCAACUACUGGACGCUGUGUUCAAUCUGCAGCCUCGAAUUGUCCUACACAGAGCAGGUUGGAUACGAAAGAGGGAGAAAAGGAUCUCUACAGAAUAGAGAUGGGAGCGAUGUGCAGCGAGUAAAGGUGAUGACGUUGACUGGUGCCAGUCACUUCAAAUACUUGCCGUCAACAAUAGAGAGCAAUGGUGAGUGUGGUGAGGAAGUGAAGAAACAGGUCCAAGUGGGGUGGAACAGUUGGCGGAAGGUGUCUGGUGUUCUAUGUGACAGAAGAGCUUCCGGUAGGAUGAAGGGUGAAGAGUGAGGCUACAGGGAGAAGUGAUAGCGAGGGUGGAGGACUUCAAAUAUUUUGGGACAACAAUCCAGAACAAUGGUGAGUGUGGUAAGGAAGUGAAGAAACGGGUCCAAGCAGGUUGGAACAGCUGGCGAAAGGUGUCUGGUGUGUUAUGGGACAGAAGUAUAUCUUCUAGGAUGAAGGCCAAAGUUUAUAAAACAGUGGUGAGGCCGGCCAUGAUGUACAGAUUGGAGACGGUGUCACUGAAGAAACAACAGGAAGCAGAACUUGAGCUUGGUGUGUGCUUGUUGAAGUGGGAGCUGCUGAUUGGACGAUCCUCGACGGGAGUACGCAGAGAUGGAGAACAGCCGGUGCCGAGGAAUUGGAAAUGAUUGGGUCAUCUGCCUCCUUGCCGUUGGUGCCAUGGUCCGACUCUCCUGGGGAAUGACCGAAGGUCAUGUGUGCGAGACAAGCCAGUUCAUCGGGAUGAGACGGAGAAUCUCUGUCAACAUCACCUGUGAUCUUCCCAUGAUGAUAUGUGAGUCCACCACGAACGUGAUACAGGGGAGUAGGGUGACAGUCUCCGCUUCCUCCGUCACAUGUAUGUGGGACAUCACACUAUUAGACAGACCUAGCUCUAAGUGUCGUUCUGAUCAUCGAGGAACGACUUGGACGGCAAUUGCAGAAGAGGAUUUCAUCAUCGGGGAGGUUGGGGAGGAUGGUGGUGUGAGGUGGGGGUAUGUGGUCACGGUCAUUUCUAAAGAAACAAUGAUGCCAAAAAUAACUCAAACACACUUGACUCCCAUUCUUGACACCUGUACACAUCUAGCUCAAGCAGUGGUUGAAACCAAGAUAUACUGGACAAUUCACUUUCCCCCGAUUCCGAUAUGUAAUAGAAUAAAAAGGGCAUGGUAUGAUACUUUGUUGGGGGAACGGGAACCGUAUUGGGAUUGGCAAAUACUGCUGAUAAUGAGGUAACUAGGACCAUGCUGUCCAAUACUGGAGAACACUCUGCCAGGGCCUUGCAUCAAAUAGGGGUUUGGCUUCCUAAAGCUCUGGUGGGACAAAAAGAAAAUGCAGAACUUUGGAAAACAGUGUUUAAUUGGGAUAUCAAAUUAUGGGACGAAGCAGAGAAAGUGCUUCAGAACUUGACAGAACAGAGUAGCUGGACAGUAUGUAGUAUUCAAACUCUACACGCUGCGGCUCAAAAGGAGUCGUUUCUAAGGAUAGUUACGUCGGGAAAUUAUCAAGAGUGGCGGAAGGUUUGGAACAUUUCCGACUCUUUGUGGUUGACAUUACAUCCCGAACAUACCAAAUGUAACAAAAAUAAAUGUACGGGUUAUUGGACCCAGUACAACGUGGCGACAACAAAGGUGGUUUGUAAAUAUCAGGUUUUGCCUGUUAUAACGACAAGUGGAUAUUGGUUUUUACACAUGGACGGAGAGUGGUUUGAACCAAAAACCAACAAAACCUUUAAAUCAGAUUUAUGUGAUUUAACAGACCAAGGGUUGGCUUGCAGAUUACAACAUGCGUACUCGAAUCCGUGCCUAACCGACUCAGAGGUUGUACUUUGUGAUUGGACUAGGGAGCCAGCCAGAGAGAUGAUGUGGCAAGUUGGACCGCAUACUCUCUGUGUGGCUACAACACAAAAUAACUCACAAGUACCUUCGGUUCCUUUUGUAGGAUGCCUUCAAGAUGUACACAUAUGGCGCUGGGGAAACAUGACGUAUCGUUUGACUAACUAUUCGGAGUCCCGCAGGUUGACUGCGGUCCAGUGGGAGGUACUACGCUCCCCCUGGUCAGUGUCUGGAACGAUUCAAAUGCGCAUUGGAGAGUUCUACAGACAUCCAAAAACUCAUCAAGUCACAUGCGUCUAACAUUUCCAGUCUCAUGGUGUCAACUAUGGUAGUAAAAGGGGAAGUAGUGCAUGCCGCUAAAUUAGUACAACAGGCUUCAGCUCAUCAUUGGUGGGACAUCUUCACAGGAAUGUCCUCCACUGCGCGUACUACUUUCUUGCCACCCUUGAUCGUGUUAAUGAUUGUUAUUUGUGUGCUUAUGCUAUGCAAUAUGGGAACUUGCUAUUACGUGCGACGCAUCCGUCUUGAGGUAGAGAAGGAAAUAUAUAAUCGCCUAUAAUCAAUUGCUUACAUUUUGAAUGAUGGAAAAACAUCAAGAGUGGAAUGAAGUAAGAAUAAUUUUAUUGUGUUGUUUUUCCAUAAUUAAAAGAUGUUUCGCAAUAGCUUCGUAUAUGUUUCGCAAUAGCUUUGUAUAACCUAAAAGACGAUCGCAAUAGCUUUGAAUAACCAGCAAUGUCAUAAAAAGAUGUUUUUGUGUUAUAUGAUGUCGUGCAACGCCAUUUGUUGGUAACAAAGAAUAGUGUGGCGUCAGGCGGGAUGAAUUGGCCACUCACCCCUCCUUCCGCACACGCUUAGAGUAUAAAAGGAGAACUUUAGAUACUCUCGGGAGAGUCUGCUGCGGGUUGCGUACGGACGCCCAGCCGGUAUUGAAGCAGCUCUCUACCUGGAGUGUUGGCUCUCCCUCCUAUUGGCGCACGGUAAGAGCUGGAUAUUCUUCUAAGAGCUGAUUGGAUAUUACUUAGCUUCAUACCACGUGAUUUGUGCUUGUGCUUGUGUUACCAUUUCUGUGUGGGACCAAUAAAGUGCCAAUUGUUGGUAGCCAGAAGUGUGUCUUGUCUUCAUUUCUGAGUGCCUAUCUCCGACGAACCUAUUAAAAUU